rnacentral:tRNA from 1 species
GGAGAGAUGUCUGAGUGGUUGAAAGAGCACGAUUGGAAAUCGUGUAAACCGUUAAAGCGGUUUCUGGGGUUCAAAUCCCCAUCUCUCCGCCA